rnacentral:piRNA from 1 species
UGUGUGCUUAGAAAGACUCUAGGAGAGCAAGA